rnacentral:rRNA from 1 species
AUUGAACGCUGGCGGCAUGCUUUACACAUGCAAGUCGAACGGGGUGAGGGGGUAACUCUUCAUUCAGUGGCGAACGGGUGAGUAAUGCAUCGGAACGUACCCUGUAGUGGGGGAUAACGCCGGGAAACCGGCGCUAAUACCGCAUAUUUCUCUGUGGAGGAAAGCGGGGGACCUGUUAGAGGGCCUCGCGCUAUGGGGAGCGGCCGAUGUCCGAUUAGCUAGUUGGUGGGGUAAUGGCCCACCAAGGCUGCGAUCGGUAGCUGGUCUGAGAGGAUGAUCAGCCACACUGGGACUGAGACACGGCCCAGACUCCUACGGGAGGCAGCAGUGGGGAAUUUUGGACAAUGGGGGCAACCCUGAUCCAGCCAUGCCGCGUGAGUGAAGAAGG